rnacentral:rRNA from 1 species
CCUACGGGUCGCAGCAGUGAGGAAUAUUUGUCAAUGGACGAGAGUCUGAACCAGCCAAGUAGCGUGAAGGAUGACUGCCCUAUGGGUUGUAAACUUCUUUUAUAUGGGAAUAAAAUGUUCCACGUGUGGGAUUUUGUAUGUACCAUAUGAAUAAGGAUCGGCUAACUCCGUGCCAGCAGCCGCGGUAAUACGGAGGAUCCGAGCGUUAUCCGGAUUUAUUGGGUUUAAAGGGAGCGUAGGUGGAUUGUUAAGUCAGUUGUGAAAGUUUGCGGCUCAACCGUAAAAUUGCAGUUGAAACUGGCAGUCUUGAGUACAGUAGAGGUGGGCGGAAUUCGUGGUGUAGCGGUGAAAUGCUUAGAUAUCACGAAGAACUCCGAGUGCGAAGGCAGUUCACUGGACUGCAACUGACACUGAGGCUCGAAAGUGUGGGUAUCAAACAGGAUUAGAUACCCCUGUAGUC